GAUGAAGAACGUAGCGAAAUGCGAUAAGUAGUGUGAAUUGCAGAAUUCAGUGAAUCAUCGAAUCUUUGAACGCACAUUGCGCCCUUUGGUAUUCCUUAGGGCAUGCCUGUUCGAGCGUCAUUUAAACCUUCAAGCUCAGCUUGGUGUUGGGUGACUGUCCGCUUCACCGCGGAUUCGCCUCAAAAUUAUUGGCGGCCGGUACAUUGGCUUCGAGCGCAGCAGAAACGCGAACUCGGGCCCGUCGUAUUGGCUCCCAGAAGCUAUCUUCACAAUUUUGACCUCGGAUCAGGUAGGGAUACCCGCUGAACUUAAGCAUAUCAAUAAGCGGAGGA
rnacentral:misc_RNA from 1 species